UACAGAGGGUGCGAGCGUUUAAUCGGAAUUACUGGGCGUAAAGCGUGCGUAGACGGCUAUCUAAGUCGGGUGUGAAAGCCCCGGGCUCAACCUGGGAAUUGCAUUCGAGACUGAAUAGCUAGGGUACGGUAGAGGGAAGCGGAAUUUCCGGUGUAGCGGUGAAAUGCGCAGAUAUCAGGAAGAACACCCGUGGCGAAAGCGGCUCUCUGGAACGGUACUGACGCUGAGACGCGAAAGCGUGGGGAGCGAACAGG
rnacentral:rRNA from 1 species